UACGAGGGGGGCAAGCGUUGUUCGGAAUUAUUGGGCGUAAAGGGUGCGUAGGCGGUCUGACAAGUCUGAUGUGAAAUCUAUGGGCUCAACCCAUAGUCUGCAUCGGAAACUGUCGGGCUGGAGUAUGGGAGAGGUGAGUGGAACUGCGAGUGUAGAGGUGAAAUUCGUAGAUAUUCGCAAGAACACCAGUGGCGAAGGCGGCUCACUGGCCCGGUACUGACGCUGAGGUGCGAAAGCGUGGGGAGCAAACAGG
rnacentral:rRNA from 1 species